CUAAACAAAAGCCAAAGUAAUGAGGCGCCUAGCUGUUAAUUAGGAGAUUGUAAAUUUAUUACUUGUUUAGU
rnacentral:tRNA from 1 species